CCCUUUCUCUCUCUUUAUAUCAAUCUGUAUCAUCAUUAUUGAAUUACGUGAUCUUUUCAGUCCAUUUAUUUGCUUCUUUGAUACAAUCAUAUGUUCAACUUCCUAUCAAAUUUGUGCUGAUUCUCUUAUUUCAAUCUACAUAUCGCCAUUCUAUGACCAUCUUUAUGUUUCCCAUUAACCCGAUUACCUGAUCUCUGGUUAAACAAUUGUCAUCCAUUGGUUAUCGUGACUUCUCAAUGUUACCUGAUAUAAUUUUACUUCACCACCUGACAAAGGAUCACCUUCAAUGUUUCACUUGUUCAGAUGUAACCAAUUAGACUGAUAAACAAAAUUAGGAUCCAUGUGUUUAGAUACAUUGUAUUAAGUCUUGAUUUACUGUUGUUUUUUGAAAAAACUGGUUUUCUCUUUUUACCCAAUUUGCCUCCAAAAAUCAAAACAAACUUUCUCACUCACUUUUCUCUCUUUCUCCUUCCCUUUGAUGGUAACCAAAAUUACACCAAUCAAUUGUUCCAGUCAAUAGUUUUCCUGUAAAUCAUCGAGUUUGACUGAAGCGCGUUAUUGUGAAUUAAUCUUGCUGCUAAGUAACUGGUUGAAUUGCUCCAUUGCUUUUGUGCUUUAAUUAUGGCGCCUGUUGAGGCCUUAAGUCUUUUAAAUUCCAGUAGAGACUGUACCCACCUUCAAAUUGAUGUACUUCACAUGAUCAACUGUUUCUUUGCUACAUUCCUUUUUUAUCACUGAUGUUUGGACAGUAACUUUCCAAUUUGCUUUAUGAUCAAUAAUGGAUAAAUGUAGAUGCUCCUGUGGUAGAGACUUAAGACUAUUCUUGGAGGAGGUCAAUUUAAUUUACCUUCAUUCAUGUUUCAAGGCAAGUUGUGAUCAAUGCAAAUCGUGGAAUGAUGCAUGUUUUCACUGUGGACAACAAAUGGACGCAAGUAAUUCCAUGGAGAUAAAAUAUACUGAAAAGCCUUCUGGUUUAAAGCCUGAAAUAAUUUUUUGUCGUUGUCAAGAAGCUUUAAUGUGUAUCCAUCAUUUGACGUACAUUUAUCAAAAUCGAUUCGUUUCUAGCGAAUGUAUCUCAAAGUGCUUGGAAUUAGCCAAAGAAGGAAGAGCACUGUGUUCAAGUUGUGAUAGCCAAAAAUAUAUUGAAUGUAUCACUGUAGAUGGUAAAAUUUCUGUAUGUGUUGAAUGUUAUUUCAACCUUUGUGAUAACAUACCAUCUUUUAUUACUGUCAAAGAGGUUCUAACCUAUCAAUUUGUCAAAGCAAUCAGACCCCUAGUCGUUGAUAAUACGAAUCAGACUCUAGAAUGUGGUGCUUUUAGCUUUCAAGACAUGGAUUCAGAGCUAACCAAUAUCAAUAGUUCCCCCGAUUCAUCAUAUGCAAAUCUUAAACGAAUAUUACCUUUAACACUUGAAGAAAGGUGCGAUUUCACAUUCUAUCGCUCUAACCAAUGUGUUAUUGAUAUACUCAUAGAUUCUAUCACGGCAGAAAAUAUUGGCUGGGAGCAAGCAAUUGACUCGAUAAGAUUGUUAAACUGUACAAUUAUUGAUUGAAAAGAUUUUAACACUAUUUUAUUUUACAUAAACAACAACCUGAAUUGUCUGACUUUUAAACUCUUAAACAUACAACAUGUAACCUAUAACCUAGAAUUUUAUGCUCAUAACCACACUAUUCCUCAUUUCUUAAAGUAUAUUUAAAACGAGAUUUAAAAACAACUCAUUAGUUGCCAAAUUGAUUAAUUUUUUAACAAAUCAACAAUAAAUUCGCCUUCAUUCUUCAA